CACGAAACGGCACUUGGGAUACGGCUUGUAAGGAGGAUACGGAGGAUACGGCCUCGGAGGAUUUGGCUUGGGAGGCUACGGAGGAUACGGAGGAUACGGUUAUGGAUCCCACUAUCCUUAUUACGGAUCCUACUAUGGAUAGAUAACGAAGGAUCAAGUAAACAUCGACUUCGUUUCCUGCCUGUUCAGCCUUGUAUUUAUAUUCUUAAAUACCAUAUAAUAAAGUUUUAACUCUA